rnacentral:rRNA from 1 species
GUUGAUCCCGCCGGACCCGACUGCUAUUUGGGUGAGGAUAAACCAUGCGAGUUGUAUGGGAUACCUAAAUUUCCCAUAGCAAACUGCUUAGUAACACAUGAUCAACUUGCCCUAUGGAGAAAUAUAACCUCGGGAAACUGAGGAUAAUGCUUCAUAGUUGAAUAGGCUUGGAAAAGUUUUUCAAUGAAAGGGAUAAGAAAAAUGGUUCUUAUCUGCCAUAGGAUAGGAUCGUGCUCGAUUAUGGUUGUUGGUGAGGUAACGGCUCACCAAGCCGAUAAUCGAUAGGGGCCGUGAGAGCGGGAGCCCCAAGAUGGGUACUGAGACAGCGACCCAGGCCUUACGAGGCGCAGCAGGUACGAAACCUCCGCAAUACACGAAAGUGUGACGGGGUUACCCAAAGUGUUCUUAUAGAACUGUGGCAGGUGAGUAAUGUCCCCUGCUAGAAAGGAGAGGGCAAGGCUGGUGCCAGCCGCCGCGGUAAAACCAGCUCUUCAAGUGGUCGGGAUAAUUAUUGGGCUUAAAGUGUCCGUAGCCGGUUUAGUAAGUUCCUGGUAAAAUCAGGUAGCUUAACUAUCUGCAUGCUAGGAAUACUGCUAUACUAGAGGGCGGGAGAGGUCUGAGGUACUACAGGGGUAGGGGUGAAAUCUUAUAAUCCUUGUAGGACCACCAGUGGCGAAGGCGUCAGACUGGAACGCGCCUGACGGUGAGGGACGAAAGCCAGGGGAGCGAACCGGAUUAGAUACCCGGGUAGUCCUGGCCGUAAACGAUGCAUACUAGGUGAUGGUACGGCCAUGAGCCGUGUCAGUGCCGUAGGGAAACCGUUAAGUGUGCCGCCUGGGAAGUACGGUCGCAAGGCUAAAACUUAAAGGAAUUGGCGGGGGAGUACCACAAAGGGUGAAGCCUGCGGUUCAAUUGGAUUCAACGCCGGGAAUCACUAGUGCGGCCGCCUG